rnacentral:misc_RNA from 1 species
GAUGAAGAACGUAGCGAAAUGCGAUAAGUAAUGCGAAUUGCAGAAUUCAGUGAAUCAUCGAAUCUUUGAACGCACAUUGCGCCCGCCAGUACUCUGGCGGGCAUGCCUGUCUGAGCGUCAUUUCAACCCUCGCGCCCGGCUUCUGUCGGGGGCGGUGUUGGGGAUCGGCCUCCCGUCUUCCGGGCGGCCGGCCCCUAAAUGGAGUGGCGACCGCGCCGUAGCCUCCUCUGCGUAGUAGUGAAACACUCGCGGGCGGAGAGCGGUGCGGCCCGCCGUAAAACCCCCAACUCUUCUAAGGUUGACCUCAGAUCAGGUAGGAAUACCCGCUGAACUUAAGCAUAUCAAUAAGCGGAGGA